UACGUAGGAUGCGAGCGUUAUCCGGAUUUAUUGGGUUUAAAGGGUGCGUAGGCGGACUGUCAAGUCAGCGGUAAAAUUGAGAGGCUCAACCUCCUCCCGCCGUUGAAACUGGUGGUCUUGAGUGGAUGAGAAGUACGCGGAAUGCGUGGUGUAGCGGUGAAAUGCAUAGAUAUCACGCAGAACUCCGAUUGCGAAGGCAGCGUACCGGCAUCCAACUGACGCUGAGGCACGAAAGCGUGGGGAUCAAACAGG
rnacentral:rRNA from 1 species